UCUCCGCUGGUGAACCAGCGGAGGGAUCAUUACCGAGUUUACAACUCCCAAACCCCAUGUGAACCUUGCCAAACGUUGCUUCGGCGGGAUGCCCCGGGCGCGGGCCGCAAGGCCUCAGCCCCGGAACCAGGCGCCCGCCGGAGGCCCAAACCAAACUCUUGUUUUUGUAGAAUCUUCUGAGUGGCCUUUUAGGCAAAAAAUGAAUCAAAACUUUCAACAACGGAUCUCUUGGUUCUG
rnacentral:misc_RNA from 1 species